rnacentral:rRNA from 1 species
UGAAUUUGUUGGGCGGCGAGCGGCGGACGGGUGAGUAAUGCCUGGGAACAUGCCUUAGUGUGGGGGGAUAACCAUUGGAAACGAUGGCUAAUACCGCAUAAUCUCCUGUCUUUUACGAGAUGGGAGCAAAGAGGGGGACCUUCGGGCCUCUCGCGCUAAGAUUGGCCCAGGUGGGAUUAGCUAGUAGGUGGGGUAACGGCUCACCUAGGCGACGAUCCCUAGCUGGUCUGAGAGGAUGAUCAGCCACACUGGAACUGAGACACGGUCCAGACUCCUACGGGAGGCAGCAGUGGGGAAUAUUGCACAAUGGGGGAAACCCUGAUGCAGCCAUGCCGCGUGUGUGAAGAAGGCCUUCGGGUUGUAAAGCACUUUCAGUCGUGAGGAAGGCGGUAUCGUUAACAGCGGUAUCGUUUGACGUUAGCGACAGAAGAAGCACCGGCUAACUCCGUGCCAGCAGCCGCGGUAAUACGGAGGGUGCGAGCGUUAAUCGGAAUUACUGGGCGUAAAGCGCAUGCAGGCGGCUUGUUAAGCCAGAUGUGAAAGCCCGGGGCUCAACCUCGGAAUCGCAUUUGGAACUGGCAGGCUAGAGUCUUGUAGAGGGGGGUAGAAUUUCAGGUGUAGCGGUGAAAUGCGUAGAGAUCUGAAGGAAUACCGGUGGCGAAGGCGGCCCCCUGGACAAAGACUGACGCUCAGAUGCGAAAGCGUGGGGAGCAAACAGGAUUAGAUACCCUGGUAGUCCACGCCGUAAACGAUGUCUACUUGGAGGUUGGUGUCUUGAACACUGGCUUUCGGAGCUAACGCGUUAAGUAGACCGCCUGGGGAGUACGGUCGCAAGAUUAAAACUCAAAUGAAUUGACGGGGGCCCGCACAAGCGGUGGAGCAUGUGGUUUAAUUCGAUGCAACGCGAAGAACCUUACCUACUCUUGAUAUCCUCAGAAGAGACUGGAGACAGACUUGAGCCUUCGGGAACUCAGAGACAGGUGCUGCA